rnacentral:lncRNA from 1 species
UGCCUAUCAAUACAUUCGAGGCAGAACCUGGGAACCUCACGGAGAGCUGUACCUGGCUGCUGCCCCCUGGGUGGGCAAUGAAUGAAUGAAGCCCCCUCCCAGCCCGGCUGCUCGCUGAGAUCAACUCUCAUGGCUGUAUACUUCAAAUCCACUUGUCUGCUUGCUGAUUGAGGGAAAUUAAUGGCAAUGCUGAUGGACUGCUCCUUGUGGGUAAUUGAUGCUCGUUCUGCACCUUGAGGGUUGGAUGCUGCCAUGCACAGGCUCUGUUCUGCUAUUCCCCAUGCUGAGAUGUUGGAGGAAUUCCCCAAGCAUCCAUCCACACUG